rnacentral:misc_RNA from 1 species
UACGUAGGGGGUAAGCGUUGUCCGGAAUUAUUGGGCGUAAAGCGCGCGCAGGCGGUUCCUUAAGUCUGAUGUGAAAUCUCGGGGCUCAACCCCGAGCGGUCAUUGGAAACUGGGGAAUUUGAGUACAGAAGAGGAGAGUGGAAUUCCACGUGUAGCGGUGAGAUGCGUAGAUAUGUGGAGGAACACCUGUGGCGAAGGCGACUCUCUGGUCUGUAACUGACGCUGAGGCGCGAAAGCGUGGGGAGCGAACAGG